CCUACGGGAGGCAGCAGUGGGGAAUAUUGGGCAAUGGGCGCAAGCCUGACCCAGCAACGCCGCGUGAAGGAAGAAGGCUCUCGGGUUGUAAACCUCUUUUCUCAGGGACGAAGCAAGUGACGGUACCUGAGGAAUAAGCCACGGCUAACUACGUGCCAGCAGCCGCGGGAAUACGUAGGUGGCAAGCGAUAUCCGGAUUUACUGGGUGUAAAGGGUGUGUAGGAGGGAAAGCAAGUCAGAUGUGAAAACCAUGGGCUCAACGUGGGGCCUGUAUUUGAAACUGUUUUUCUUGAGUGCUGGAGAGGCAGACGGAAUUCGUGGUGUAGCGGUGAAAUGCAUAGAUAUUAGGAAGAACACCGGUGGCGAAGGCGGUCUGCUGGACAGCAACUGACGCUGAGGCGCGAAAGCGUGGGGAGCAAACAGGAUUAGAUACCCUGGUAGUC
rnacentral:rRNA from 1 species